UGGCGAGCGGGUGAGUAACACGUGGGUGAUCUGCCCUGCACUUCGGGAUAAGCCUGGGAAACUGGGUCUAAUACCGGAUAGGACCACAUUUUGGAUGGUGUGGUGGAAAGUUUUUCGGUGUGGGAUGAGCUCGCGGCCUAUCAGCUUGUUGGUGGGGUAAUGGCCUACCAAGGCGUCGACGGGUAGCCGGCCUGAGAGGGUGUACGGCCACAUUGGGACUGAGAUACGGCCCAG
rnacentral:rRNA from 1 species